rnacentral:rRNA from 1 species
UACGAAGGGGGCUAGCGUUGCUCGGAAUUACUGGGCGUAAAGGGCGCGUAGGCGGACAGUUUAGUCAGAGGUGAAAGCCCAGGGCUCAACCUUGGAAUUGCCUUUGAUACUGGCUGUCUUGAGUACGGGAGAGGUGAGUGGAACUCCGAGUGUAGAGGUGAAAUUCGUAGAUAUUGGGAAGAACACCGGUGGCGAAGGCGGCUCUCUGGACCGAUACUGACGCUGAGGCGCGAAAGCGUGGGGAGCAAACAGG